GGUAUGGGAUGAGCUUGCGUCCGAUUAGCUAGUUGGCGGGGCAACGGCCCACCAAGGCGACGAUCGGUAGCCGGCCUGAGAGGGUGAUCGGCCACAUUGGGACUGAGAUACGGCCCAGACUCCUACGGGAGGCAGCAGUAGGGAAUAUUGCACAAUGGGGGGAACCCUGAUGCGGCAACGCCACGUGUGGGAAGAAGCAUUUCGGUGUGUAAACCACUGUCGUGAGGGAAUAAGGCCUGCUCUAGGACAGGAUUGAAUGUACCUCGAAAGGAAGCACCGGCAAACUUCGUGCCAGCAGCCGCGGUAAUACGAGGGGUGCAAGCGUUGUUCGGAAUCACUGGGCGUAAAGGGAGCGUAGGCGGAGAUUCAAGCGGAUUGUACAAUCCCGGGGCCCAACCCCGGACCUGCAGUCCGAACUGGAUCUCUUGGAUAGUUCAGGGGCAGGC
rnacentral:rRNA from 1 species